CUGUGUACUGAUAUUAAACAUAAUCAGUGCGUAUAAGAAAAAAUAAACUAAAAUUUAAGCGAAUGGAAAUUUGAUCCAACCUGCCUUUUUAGAGACUCCAAAGCUGGCAAUCCACCAACUACUCAAGAGUGAAGUGCACUUUCAAUCAAUAAUACAAACGAAUAAUGUAUGCAUAAGCCACUUACCGAACCAGCCAGUCAACCCACAAGCAAUCGAUAUAGUAAUACAUACAUACAUAAAGGCACAUCCCUACCCCUGCCGGGAUGGAUGUAUUGCACGAAAGGCAAACAUAUGACUGAAAUAUUAGUUUUUACCAAUUAAUAUUUAGAAAUAGUAAUGAUUAUCAUAGAAUCAUGUGUGCCUCAAGAAAGUGGGUGUGUUCCUAUUAGACGAGUGUAUAUGUAUGUAUGGAUAAAUCAUGCAAACGCCAAGCAGACAUGCCUUCAUACAUAUGUACAUAUUUAAAUAUACAUUUGUACAUAAUAAUAAACAUUGAUCAAUCAUUCUCAUUUGUAAUCCUUUAAUCGCUAAGAUAUUUACUACUGCGUAUUUAUUUACAUAUAUGUAUAAUUAUUUUGUUAUUGUCAAAACGCAACAAUGGUUUAUGUGAGUUCUUACACUCACGCAGUAGGUACAUGAUAAACUACAUACACAGGAGUAGUUGUAAAUGAGAGCAGCGAGCGGGCGAAUAUGUAAAAUCUAUGACAGCAAUGGCAUAAAUAAAGACGCAUGAA